CCAUACAAGCAUGCAAAGCUAUUAAUCAAAUUAUAAUAAUUUCAAAAAAAUAAUAAGUCUUCAACCCUCAAAAAUUAAUUUAUAAAUAUUAUAAUAAAUCAGUUUCAUCAAUGAACAACCCAAGAUAAUCUAAGUCAUUAAAUUCCAAAUUAUUACUAAUAUUCAAUCUAAACAAAAAAAAAGCUAAACUAAUAUGAAAACUAAAUGACAUAGAUGAUCAAGAUAGCUAGAUCUUCUAAUUGC
rnacentral:lncRNA from 1 species